AAGGAUAUAAAAGGUAUUCUUUCUUAUUUACUCCACUCCCUUCUCUAAAUUUCUAAAACACAAUUUCACGUCAUGUGGGGUCUCAUCCACAAACCUCCAUUAAUGAGCAGUCCUUCAUCAUCAUAUAAAAUUAUGGCCAAAGUUAUUAAUUAUAUAUCCUUAACUGAUCUUCCCCACUAUUCUCAAUCAUUUCAAUACCCUUUCAUAACUUUGCAUCCUUAAAAGCCCCCUCUGGUUAGAUAUUGCUAUCCCUCCUGCUUUCACCCAUAGUCUUACUUUCAAAGCUCCUACAUACUGAAGACUGCUUCUGAGACUUUGAUCUCCAUGUCCAUGGCAGGGCUUAUGGACUCAGAAAAGAAUCACAAGGUGAAGUCCUUCCACCGCAGAAAUGAUUCUGGUGAGCUUGAUGUGUUUGAGGCGGCAAGGUAUUUCUCAGGGUACAAUGAAGCUGUUGGCUAUAAUAACAGUGACUCCAGCCUGAAGAUCGCGAGAGAAGAUCAAAGGAAUGGACACAAAGGCAGAAUCAGCUUAGACAUGCCCAUGAGAAACUUGUUUCCCCAGCAGUUUCAUGGAGUGGCAGUGGAGAAGCAGAUCAUGAAAGAGAAGAAACACAAGCAACCUAGUUCCCCAGGAGGAAGGCUUGCCAGCUUCUUGAACUCUCUCUUCAGCCAGUCUGCAUCUAAGAAGAAGAAAUCAAAAUCCAGCACACAGUCUAUGAAGGAUGAUCAGGACGAUCAGAGCCCGGGAGGGAGGAGGAGAAGGAGAAGCAGCAUUAGCCAUUUCAGAAGCUCAAGCAGCACUACUACUACUUCAGAUUCGAAGUCCUUAUAUUCAUCCUUCAGUUCGGUUGGGUUUAGAACACCUCCCCAUAUACAUACCCCUACAAAGAGUUGUAAGGAAUUCAGAACCCUCUCAAAGUAUGAUAAUAUUGAGCAUCUAAAGUCAUUUACUUUACAUAAUGAGUUGUGGGAUGAUCAUAAGAAGAAGAACGAGAAUUUCAAAUAUGGCAAUGGGGUUUUGGAAAAACAUAGGGACUGGGGGAAUGAGUUGUCUGAGAAGGAGUUCAGAAAGUUCAAUAUCGAGGUGGAUGAUGAUGAUGGUGCAGAGAGUGAUUCAAGCUCCGAUCUGUUUGAGUUGCAGAACUAUGACUUGGGUUACUGUUCAAGUGGUCUACCUGUCUAUGAAACUACCAACAUGGAUAACAUCAAGAGAGGAGCACCAAUUUCCAGUGGCGCACUGUGAUACUGUACACACAUACAUAUAUAUAUAUAUAUAUAUAUUUCUUCUUAUAUAAUUGGUUCUUGUUGAGGACUUUGUUUAAAAUGCCAAAACUAAAAAUGCUAUCCAUUAAUGGAGAACUAACAAGGCUUCAAGCUCACGUUAUUCAUUUGAUUUUUGUUCACUGUGGUGAAGUCACUUAAGUUUAGUUUCACAGUGAAGUUGGUAUGGUGAUAGAGAGUGGCAAUUUAUUAG